rnacentral:rRNA from 1 species
CCAGCUCCAAUAGCGUAUAUUAAAGUUGUUGCAGUUAAAAAGCUCGUAGUUGAAUUUCAGAAAUGUAAAUAUUUGUGGCUUCGGUUGCGUAUGUUUAUAUUUCUUUCUGAUACGAAUCAUUAAGCCUUAAACAGCUUUUUGCUACGUAUCUCCUUUACUGUGAGUAAAUUAGAGUGUUUAAAGCAGGCUUUCCGCUUGAAUACAUUAGCAUGGAAUAAUGAGAUAAGACGUGAGUCGUAUUUCGUUGGUUACACGACACCGUAAUGAUUAAUAGGGACAGUUGGGGGUAUUCAUAUUUAUCAGUCAGAGGUGAAAUUCUUGGAUUUGAUAAAGAUGAACGACUGCGAAAGCAUUUACCAAGGAUGUUUUCA